rnacentral:rRNA from 1 species
UACGAAGGGGGCUAGCGUUGCUCGGAAUUACUGGGCGUAAAGCGCACGUAGGCGGCUUCUUAAGUCGGUGGUGAAAUCCUGGAGCUCAACUCCAGAACUGCCUUCGAUACUGAGAAGCUCGAGUCCGGGAGAGGUGAGUGGAACUGCGAGUGUAGAGGUGAAAUGCGCAGAUAUCGGGAAGAACACCCGUGGCGAAGGCGGCUCUCUGGGACGGUACUGACGCUGAGACGCGAAAGCGUGGGGAGCGAACAGG